rnacentral:rRNA from 1 species
UACAGAGGUCUCAAGCGUUGUUCGGAUUCAUUGGGCGUAAAGGGUGCGUAGGCGGCGCGGUAAGUCGGGUGUGAAAUCUCGGAGCUUAACUCCGAAACUGCAUUCGAUACUGCCGUGCUUGAGGACUGGAGAGGAGACUGGAAUUUACGGUGUAGCGGUGAAAUGCGUAGAUAUCGUAAGGAAGACCAGUGGCGAAGGCAGGUCUCUGGACAGUUCCUGACGCUGAGGCACGAAAGUCAGGGGAGCAAACGGG